GUAGUUGACUCCGUGCACAGAACACGCUGGCGGCAUGCCUAACACAUGCAAGUCGAACGAGGCCCGUUCGGGGUUUAGUGGCGCACGGGUGCGUAACGCGUGGGAAUCUGCCCUUUGGUUCGGAAUAACAGCUGGAAACGGCUGCUAAUACCGGAUGAUGACGAAAGUCCAAAGAUUUAUCGCCAGAGGAUGAGCCCGCGUUGGAUUAGGUAGUUGGUGGGGUAAAGGCCUACCAAGCCGACGAUCCAUAGCUGGUCUGAGAGGAUGAUCAGCCACACUGGAACUGAGACACGGCCCAGACUCCUACGGGAGGCAGCAGUGGGGAAUAUUGGACAAUGGGCGAAAGCCUGAUCCAGCAAUGCCGCGUGAGUGAUGAAGGCCCUAGGGUUGUAAAGCUCUUUUACCCGGGAAGAUAAUGACUGUACCGGGAGAAUAAGCCCCGGCUAACUCCGUG
rnacentral:rRNA from 1 species